UACGUAGGGUGCAAGCGUUGUCCGGAAUUAUUGGGCGUAAAGAGCUCGUAGGCGGUUUGUCGCGUCUGCUGUGAAAACUCAGGGCUUAACCCUGAGCCUGCAGUGGGUACGGGCAGACUAGAGUGUGGUAGGGGAGAUCGGAAUUCCUGGUGUAGCGGUGGAAUGCGCAGAUAUCAGGAGGAACACCGGUGGCGAAGGCGGAACCCUGGGCCGGAACUGACGCUGAGGAGCGAAAGCGUGGGGAGCGAACAGG
rnacentral:rRNA from 1 species